rnacentral:rRNA from 1 species
AAAAGGUGGCUAUGCUACCGCUUUUGGAUGGGCCCGCGGCGCAUUAGCUAGUUGGUGGGGUAAAGGCUUACCAAGGCAAUGAUGCGUAGCCGAACUGAGAGGUUGAUCGGCCACAUUGGGACUGAGACACGGCCCAAACUCCUACGGGAGGCAGCAGUAGGGAAUCUUCCACAAUGGGCGAAAGCCUGAUGGAGCAACGCCGCGUGGGUGAAGAAGGUCUUCGGAUCGUAAAACCCUGUUGUUAGAGAAGAAAGUGCGUGAGAGUAACUGUUCACGUUUCGACGGUAUCUAACCAGAAAGCCACGGCUAACUACGUGCCAGCAGCCGCGGUAAUACGUAGGUGGCAAGCGUUAUCCGGAUUUAUUGGGCGUAAAGGGAACGCAGGCGGUCUUUUAAGUCUGAUGUGAAACCCUUCGGCUUAACCGGAGUAGUGCAUUGGAAACUGGGAGACUUGAGUGCAGAAGAGGAGAGUGGAACUCCAUGUGUAGCGGUGAAAUGCGUAGAUAUAUGGAAGAACACCAGUGGCGAAAGCGGCUCUCUGGUCUGUAACUGACGCUGAGGUUCGAAAGCGUGGGUAGCAAACAGGAUUAGAUACCCUGGUAGUCCACGCCGUAAACGAUGAAUGCUAAGUGUUGGAGGGUUUCCGCCCUUCA